rnacentral:rRNA from 1 species
CCUACGGGAGGCUGCAGUGGGGAAUAUUGGGCAAUGGGCGCAAGCCUGACCCAGCAACGCCGCGUGAAGGAAGAAGGCUUUCGGUUUGUAAACUUCUUUUCUCAGGGACGAAACAAGUGACGGUACCUGAGGAAUAAGCCACGGCUAACUACGUGCCAGCAGCCGCGGUACGACGUAGGUGGGAAGCUUUAUCCGGAUUUACUGGGUGUAAAGGGCGUGUAGGCGGGAAAGCAAGUAAGAUGUGAAAACCCUGGGGUCAACCAGUGGCCUGUUUUUGAAACGGUGAUUCUUGAGUACUGGAGAGGUAGACGGAAUUCCUAGUGUAGCGGUGAAAUGCGUAGAUAUUAGGAGGAACACCAGUGGCGAAGGCGGUCUGCUGGACAGCAACUGACGCUGAGGCGCGAAAGCGUGGGGAGCAAACAGGAUUAGAUACCCCGGUAGUC